GUGACGUUUAAGGUUAGCGGCAGUGACAAAAGCAAAAGCUCUGAUAAUUGCUAUAGCCAAAUUCUCAUCGCCGAACCUUCUUCUUCGGGAUCCUACUCAGUCAUGGCUAACAACAGCGGCAACACAGUGGCAAGAUCAUUCCUUCAGGUAGCCUCAACGGAGGAGGUAGCUCCUUCUCUUCGAGUUGUUCAGAUCGAGGGACUGGUUAUCUUGAAGAUAAUCAAACACUGCAAGGAGUUUUCUCCGGCUUUGGUCACUGGUCAGCUUCUUGGGUUGGAUGUUGGUAGCGUUCUCGAAGUUACUAACUGUUUCCCUUUCCCGAUUCGGGAGGAGGAUGAAGAGAUUGAAGCCGAUGGCGCCAAUUACCAGCUUGAAAUGAUGAGAUGCUUGAGGGAGGUUAAUGUUGACAAUAACACAGUUGGAUGGUACCAAUCAACAUUGUUAGGUUCUUUUCAAACUGUGGAAUUGAUUGAGACCUUUAUGAACUACCAGGAAAAUAUUAGACGAUGUGUAUGUAUCAUUUAUGAUCCUUCAAGAUCCAAUCAGGGUGUCUUAGCUCUCAAGGCCUUGAAACUUUCAGAUGCCUUCAUGGAACUGUACCGCAGUAAUAAUUUUACUGGGGAGAAGUAAGGAUUUUUUUCCUGUUGCUUAUGUGUUUAUGCAGCUUUGAACUAUUCAAAUGUAAUCCCAUUCUGACUUCUCUUUUGCUCCAAUAGGUUGAGAGAGAGAAAUUUGUCAUGGGUUGAUAUUUUUGAGGAAAUUCCUGUCAGCUUCUAAAACCAUUCUUAUUUUUUCGUUCUUCCUAGAAUAAUUUGUUACCUUUACUUCAUUAAUGAUUGUUUAAACUGGAAGGAGGCUGCAUGAUUUGUAUUUUAAAUAAAUAUGCUAUUUUUUAUAUCGCAGAUCAAAGUUUCAAAUUCUGCACUUAUCAGUGCCUUUAUGACUGAGCUAGAAGCUGAUUCACCCAUCACCCAGUGUGAUUAUGAUCGUUUGCAAUUAUCGACUAGUCCAUUUAUGGAGAGAAAUGUUGAAUUCUUGAUUGAGUGCAUGGAUGAAUUGUCAAUGGAACAGCAGAAGUUCCAAUUUUACUAUCGGAAUCUUUCACGCCAGCAAGCUCAGCAACAAGCAUGGCUUCAGAAGAGAAGGUCAGAGAACAUGGCACGUAAAGCUGCAGGAGAAGAUCCUUUGCCUGAGGAGGAUCCUUCAAAUCCCAUUUUUAAGCCAAUCCCUGAGCCAUCACGGUUGGAUAGCUUCCUCAUCACCAAUCAAAUUGCAAACUUUUGCAACCAAAUUAACGGGUAUGUUGUGGAUUUUAGAGGCUGGCUGCAAUUGUAUCCCUUAAUUUCAUGCGUUCUCUUCACAAGGUAGAUGAUUUUGUCAAACUUUGGGUUAUUGCACCCACUCUUCUUGCCACCAUCAUGGAAGCUUUUACAUAAUAUAUUUUGACUAUUAUUUGGGAAAGCUGUUCUAUCUUCUUGUUUCACUAUGCCCCUUGUUAGGCUUGUACAUAUUUUACUGUAAAAUAAACAAUCUAAUUUGUAAUUAUUGGGCAAAGUGUAACUUGUUCAAGUUUCUAUGCUUGUGUGUGAAAGCCCUGUUGCCCUUACCAAUCUUUAGAUGUGAGUGGGACAAAAUAAGGUGUCAUAUAUUUUGCUCCAUGUUGUUUUUGUUAGGCGACUUUUCCGAGUCUUGCAUUUCUAGGAGAUUCACUUAUAGCUAAUUGCAGCCUUGAUAAUCUCUAAAAAAUUAAAAAAUGUGCUUGAGUUGAUAGGAUUUGUAAUUAUCAUCUUGACCACGUUGAAAACCAGAAAUAUAAAAUAAAUGUGAUGGAUUUUCUCAGUGGAUUUUUGUGCUAGUAAAAUAUGUUUUUUGUGUAAUCGCUAUUGGUAAAUAAUAGUUGUCCAAUAUCUCUGAUUGGAAGGAGGUAAUAUCUGUAUGGGCUUGCAAAUUUUUGCGUUUAGUGAAUAGUUAUUUUGUUUAUUCUUUUGAUGCACGUAAAUUCUAUGAAAAAACACUGAUUUGAAUAAAUUGUGAAAUGCUAAGGAAUUUAAAUUUCUGCUAUCUGUAGUUACCUUUGUCUAUUAUUUAUUCAUCUUCAUUGUCUCAUUAUGUGUUUCCACCAUAACUUUGCAGGGUUUCUGGACAGAGCUUCAACCGAUUGUAUUUGAUGAAGGCUUUGCAAGAUAGUUGAUGUUAUCUUAGCUGGUAAGUGUUUACUCUUUGGAAGAGGAUGCCUUUCCUGUUUGAAAAUGAAAAAUUUUGGAGCGAGAAAGCCAUGCUCGGAUUGUUAUCAACCAUUUUGAAAGCGACUGUAGAAUGAUAGCUUAGUAUUGUUUUUGCUUUUAAUAGUCAAUUAAAUUUGUUGAUCUAUAUAAUUAUGCUAUUCUGGAGUUUUAAAAAGCAAAUUCAAAAUUGUUUUAGAGGGGUUGAAGAUUAUGUCAAACUAAAGGGCAAAUGCUCCUCUACUUAAGCCGAAUGUGUAAUUAAUUUUAUUUGAAGCACUUUCUUUU
rnacentral:misc_RNA from 1 species